rnacentral:rRNA from 1 species
GGAGUUAGCCGGUGCUUCUUCUGUGAGUGAUGUCCUUCCUGCCGGCUAUUAACCCGCAGGCCUUCUUCCUCACUGAAAGUGCUUUACAACCCGAAGGCCUUCUUCACACACGCGGCAUGGCUGGAUCAUGGUUGCCCCCAUUGUCCAAUAUUCCCCACUGCUGCCUCCCGUAGGAGUCUGGGCCGUGUCUCAGUCCCAGUGUGGCUGAUCAUCCUCUCAGACCAGCUACGGAUCGUCGCCUUGGUGAGCCGUUACCUCACCAACCAGCUAAUCCGACAUAGGCUCAUCCGAUAGCGCGAGGCCCGAAGGUCCCCCGCUUUCCCCCGUAGGGCGUAUGCGGUAUUAGCCUGGGUUUCCCCAGGUUAUCCCCCACUACCGGGCAGAUUCCUAUGCAUUACUCACCCGUCCGCCGCUCGCCACCAGGGAGCAAGCUCCCCGUGCUGCCGCUCGACUUGCAUGUGUUAGGCCUGCCGCCAGCGUCAUCUGACGACGAUANAAUACUACGACUGACGCGGCGCGGCGAGGCGACGACG